rnacentral:rRNA from 1 species
CCUACGGGUGGCAGCAGUGAGGAAUAUUCGUCAAUGGGCGCGAGCCUGAACCAGCCAAGUAGCGUGAAGGAUGACUGCCCUACGGGUUGUAAACUUCUUUUAUAAAGGAAUAAAGUGAGGCACGUGUGCCUUUUUGUAUGUCCUUUCUGAAUAAGGAUCGGCCAACUACGUGCCAGCAGCCGCGGUAAUACGGAGGAUCCGAGCGUUAUCCGGGUUUAUUGGGUUGAAAGGGUGCGUAGGUGGGGAGGUAAGUCAGCGGUGAAAUGCCCCUGCUCAACGGGGUGAAGUGCCAUUGAUACUGCCUGGCUGGAAUGCGGAUGCCGUGGGAGGAAUGUGUGGUGUAGCGGUGAAAUGCAUAGAUAUCACACAGAACACCGAUUGUGAAGGCAUCUCACGAAUCCGCGAUUGACGCUGAUGCACGAAAGCGUGGGUAUCAAACAGGAUUAGAUACCCCGGUAGUC